rnacentral:rRNA from 1 species
UUGAUAAGUAGGGCGGGACACGUGACAUCCUGUCCGAAGAUGGGGGGACCAUCCUCCAAGGCUAAAUACUCGUGAUCGACCGAUAGUGAACCAGUACUGUGAAGGAAAGGCGAAAAGAACCCCGGGAGGGGAGUGAAAUAGAACCUGAAACCGCAUACAUACAAACAGUAGGAGCCGGCUUGACCGGUGACUGCGUACCUUUUGCAUAAUGGGUCAGCGACUUACGUUUUGUGGCAAGCUUAACCGAGUAGGGGAGGCGUAGCGAAAGCGAGUCCGAAUAGGGCGAAUCAGUCGCAGGGCGUAGACCCGAAACCAGAUGAGCUAUCCAUGGCCAGGCUGAAGGUGUGGUAACACACACUGGAGGGCCGAACCGACUAGUGUUGCAAAAUUAGCGGAUGAGCUGUGGAUAGGGGUGAAAGGCUUAACAAAUCUGGAGAUAGCUGGUUCUCCCCGAAAACUAUUGAGGUAGUGCCUCGUGAAUGACUCCAGGGGGUAGAGCACUGUUAUGGCUAGGGGGACAUGGCGUCUUACCAAACCAUGGCAAACUCCGAAUACUUGGAAGUUGAAUCACGGGAGACAGAGCACCGGGUGCUAACGUCCGGACUCAAAAGGGAAACAACCCAGACCGCCGUUUAAGGUCCCUAAUAUUGACUAAGUGGAAAACGAAGUGUGAAGGCUAAGACAGUCAGGAAGUUGGCUUAGAAGCAGCCAUCCUUCAAAGAAAGCGUAAUAGCUCACUGAUCGAGUCCUCAUGCGCGGAAGAUGUAACGGGGCUAAGUCAAUAACCGAAAGCGCGGAUUUGCACGUUAAGUGCAAGUGGUAGGGGAGCGUUCUGUAAGCCUGCGAAGGGGUAUUGCGAAGUGCCCUGGAGGUAUCAGAAGUGCGAAUGCUGACAUGAGUAACGUUAAAACGGGUGAAAAGCCCGUUCGCCGUAAGCCCAAGGUUUCCUGCUCUACGUUCAUCGGAGCAGGGUGAGUCGGUCCCUAAGGCCAGGCUGAGAAGCGUAGUCGAUGGCAAUCAGGUUAAUAAUCCUGAACCGCGUUCCAAUGCGAUGGGGGGACGGAGUGUGGAAGAUCAUCCGGGUGUUGGAUAUCCCGGUUUGCGAGCGUAGAAGGCCGGUUGGCAAAUCCGCCGGCGCAUCUUCAAGGCGAAGCAUCGAGCUCCUUUUGGAGUGAAGUGAUCGGAAGGACUUCCAGGAAAAGCCUCUAAGCUUCAGUUGGAACGUGACCGUACCGCAAACCGACACUGGUGGGCGAGUUGAAUAUACUCAGGCGCUUGAGAGAACUCGGGAGAAGGAACUCGGCAAAUUGACACCGUAACUUCGGGAAAAGGUGUGCCUUGGUAGCGUGAAGGGAGAAACGCCCGGAGCGCGAAGAGGUCUCAGAGAAUUGGUGGCUGCAACUGUUUAUUAAAAACACAGCACUCUGCAAAGACGAAAGUCGACGUAUAGGGUGUGAUGCCUGCCCGGUGCUGGAAGAUUAAGUGAUGGGCUGCAAGGUCCUGAUCGAAGUCCCAGUAAACGGCGGCCGUAACUAUAACGGUCCUAAGGUAGCGAAAUUCCUUGUCGGGUAAGUUCCGACCUGCACGAAUGGCAUAAUGAUGGCCACACUGUCUCCUCCCGAGACUCAGUGAA